UACAGAGGUCUCAAGCGUUGUUCGGAUUCAUUGGGCGUAAAGGGCGCGUAGGCGGCGGGGUAAGUCGGGUGUGAAAUCUCAGAGCUCAACUCUGAAACUGCACUCGAUACUGCUCUGCUUGAGGACUGGAGAGGAGACUGGAAUUCACGGUGUAGCAGUGAAAUGCGUAGAUAUCAAGUGGAACACCAGUGGCGAAGGCGAGUCCCUGGACAACUCCUGACACUGAGGCACGAAAGCUAGGGGAGCAAACAGG
rnacentral:rRNA from 1 species